rnacentral:misc_RNA from 1 species
CCGAGUUUACAACUCCCAAACCCCUGUGAACAUACCACUAUCGUUGCCUCGGCGGAUCAGCCCGCUCCCGGUAAAACGGGACGGCCCGCCCGAGGACCCCUAAACUCUGUUUUUAUAGUGGAACUUCUGAGUAAAACAACAAAUAAAUCA